GACGUAGGGGGCCAGCGUUGUUCGGAAUUACUGGGUGUAAAGGGUUCGUAGGCGGUGCGGCAAGUCGGGAGUGAAAUCUCUGGGCUUAACCCAGAGGCUGCUUCCGAAACUGCUGUGCUUGAGUGUGGGAGAGGCGCGUGGAAUUGCAGGUGUAGCGGUGAAAUGCGUAGAUAUCUGCAGGAACACCCGUGGCGAAAGCGGCGCACUGGACCAUAACUGACGCUGAGGCGCGAAAGCUAGGGGAGCAAACAGG
rnacentral:rRNA from 1 species